AGAGUUUGAUCAUGGCUCAGGAUAAACGCUGGCGGCGCACAUAAGACAUGCAAGUCGAACGAACGUUAACCAUUAGUUUACUAUUGGAGCGGUUAGUGGCGGACUGGUGAGUAACACGUAAGCAGCCUGCCUAUCAGAGGGGAACAACGAGUUAGAAAUGACUGCUAAUACCGCAUAUGCCUUAGAAUCGCAUGGUUCGAAAGGGAAAGGAGCAAUCCGCUGAUAGAUGGGCUUGCGU
rnacentral:rRNA from 1 species